UUGGACGACCCCUCGUAAUGAUAAUAAACAUAUUUUCCGAGCAGCACUGUCUUGGUUGCUAUACAAUACGAAGUCGUCGCCAGGUUAUAUGUUACCGUAUCAAAAUAAACAAACAGUGGUAUAUUCGUACCCCAUGAAAAGUUCCCUAUUUGAAACUGCAGUUGAUAAAAUUGCACUGAAUCAAUACCGAAGACGCGAAAUAAUACAGAAAUAAGUUUGGCAAAUAGUUAAAAAUCUCCUGACAAAAUAAUGUGUGCAGCGUUACAUUCCCUCGAGUCUUGACUCACACCUGUAGAUAUACUUGGCUACAUGGUAGAUUAACUGUAGCAAACGGUGAUAGUUUCUCAGCUUUUUUUCGCAUCCGCAUCAUUGUGCGAAAAUCCCAUAUAUUUAUUUAUAUUAAAUGUAUACAGUUCAUCAAAUGAAAUCUGAAAAAAUAAAUAAAAUAUACGAUGGAUUA